rnacentral:misc_RNA from 1 species
AAGUCGUAACAAGGUUUCCGUAGGUGAACCUGCGGAAGGAUCAUUAAUGAAAUGAUUUUUUUUCGGGGUUUUCCCUGAAAAAUAAUUCACCUUUUGUGCAUUGUUAUUAGAUAUACUUUGGUUAGAGCUUUGAUUUCAUUUAAUGGAAUCAACUUCUUGCUGACUCUAUCCUUUCUGAGGACAGUUGGCUAUGAAGCGGCCUACCAAGGUUUUUUAUCAAACACAUUUAAUUUAUCUGACCUAAACUAUUAUAAUAAAAUCAUAACUUUCAACAACGGAUCUCUUGGCUCUC